AUUGAACGCUGGCGGCAUGCCUUACACAUGCUAGUCGAACGGUAACAGGUCUUCGGAUGCUGACGAGUGGCGAACGGGUGAGUAAUACAUCGGAACGUGCCUAGUAGUGGGGGAUAACUACUCGAAAGAGUGGCUAAUACCGCAUGAGAUCUACGGAUGAAAGAAGGGGAUCGCAAGACCUUGUGCUAAUAGAGCGGCCGAUGGCAGAUUAGGUAGUUGGUGGGAUAAAAGCUUACCAAGCCGACGAUCUGUAGCUGGUCUGAGAGGACGAUCAGCCACACUGGGACUGAGACACGGCCCAGACUCCUACGGGAGGCAGCAGUGGGGAAUUUUGGACAAUGGGCGCAAGCCUGAUCCAGCAAUGCCGCGUGCAGGAUGAAGGCCUUCGGGUUGUAAACUGCUUUUGUACGGAACGAAAAGCCCCGGGUUAAUACCCUGGGGUCAUGACGGUACCGUAAGAAUAAGCACCGGCUAACUACGUGCCAGCCGCCGCGGUAA
rnacentral:rRNA from 1 species